AACCUUUGCAAGCUCCCAGAAAUCAACCGAGAACCAUCCAAUACCCUGUCGCAAAACCUGCUGCGAAUUAGCCUCAAAACAGUCUUAACGAGUCGGAUUCGGGGCGAAUUUUUAAAAACCCGAACCCGAACCCGACUCCAAACCCGAGACCCGAACCCGAACCCGAACCCGAACCCAAACCCGAACCAUCUAUAUCCAAACCCGAACCCGACCAAAAAUUCGAAACCCGAACCCAAACCCGAACCCGAAAAUUUGAACCUGAAACACUUAUUUCUUUUUUCAAUAUUUCAAAAUAUAUUAUAUUAAAUCUAAAUUUUUAAAAUAC
rnacentral:lncRNA from 1 species